AGGGAAAAGCAUCUAGUCGCUACUUUUAGUAGAGGAAAGUCUGGACUUUAUAAAAGACGAUGCCAGAGAAAAUCUGGGAACUGCAAAGUUACGGAAAGUGCAAAAGAGACCAAAACUUCUAAUUUUUAGAAGGGUGAAAAGAUUUUUUUUAAAAUCGCUUUAGAGUAAUCUAAAGUUGUUGUAAACCCCAUCGAAAGCAAGACUAUGUUAUGAGUAAGCGUAUCUUUUCGCUAAAGCUCAAUGGUGAGUCGCUUGAGGAUUUUGGUAACAAAAUCCCUAGAUGAAUGACUAGAAAAACAAAAUCCGGCUUACGCUUUUCCCUACUU
rnacentral:RNase_P_RNA from 1 species